GCCAAAGAGCGCUCGAUUGCCUAGGAUGUGCGCAUUUUGGAAGCGGCCUGGAAGGGCAGGCUGGCAGGAAGCAGUACUUUGCACCUCCCGUCCCUUAGUCCCUUAGUCCACAGCCGGACACAGAGGUCCGUCUUUCCCCUGCGGUGUUCCGACAAGCCCUCAAGCGGAACUCUGCCUGGCUGUCAGCUCCCUGCAAGGUCUUGGGCCGUCGUUCUGGAUCCUCGAGGUGCCUGGACUUUCCCUCUGCCCUUGGCGGACCUCGCGACCUCACCCUAUCUCUCUGUAGACGCACAAUCGUUGCUCUGGCUGCCAAGGAGCAUAAGAAGCUAUCCCAGUCAUUCAACAACAGGACGGUUUUCUGAAGCGGUUGUGUGGCUUUUCCAGAAAAAUCCCCAUGGAAAAGGAAAUAUCCUAAUGGUACAACCAAACUUAACUCACAGAGUAGCUUUACUGCAAUGAUUUUAGGAAGAGACUCAUCUCUUCUCAUGAAGGACCAAAAAAUGUCUUCAGGUGCAACCAAACUUAACUCACGGAGUUAAGUGUCACGCUGCCAUUCCAAAAACUCUAAGGAGAAGACCGAGGCCCAUUUCACUUCCGGCUGCAGCCUUGGAAACACCGACAGCAGGCAGCCAUCACGUGGAACCAUGUGCGACCUUAGGAAGAGAAAGGAACACCGCAAGGGACGCUCACUAUGUAUUCAAGUUUGUUGUCGAAACACACCCACCGUGUCCAUAUUUUUGAGAGGUGGUCCAAUGAACCACUGGCCUAUGGAUGCUUGUCAUGGCUGGAGUAACCAGUUGGGUUCAGAGUGCAAGAUGUGAGGGGAAGUGACCCUCGGGAUAGACGGUAAGUGAGAAUAAAUUCCACCAAUGCCACCAUGGCGGCUUCAAGGUUCUUCCUUCAAGAACUGGAUUUUGGGGCCAGGCAGGAGAGAGCACCCUUGUGAUUCCAGCAGGAGGCGGAGCUGAGGCAAGAGGACAGCCUUAAGUUCAAGCCGGUUUAGCUACGUAGUAAGUUCUAGACCAGCCUCGACUAAGAGCCUGUAGGGCAAAAUAAAUUGGGGUUUGGGCCAGCUGCAAUAGCACAUAUUUGUAUUGUAAUGCCGGUACUCAAAAGGCAAAGAAAGGGAAUUGCUGCCUCAAGUUUGGGGUCUACCAAGUGAGACCCUGCACCCCCCUCCGUCUCUGUCUCUCUCUCCCCCUCUCUCUGAAAAAGGGUUGGGCAUGAAGCUCAGUAGAGCGCUUGUCUAGCAGGCAUCUCAUAAAAGUGAGUGUGGUGGCCCAUGCCUAUAGUACCAACACU